rnacentral:rRNA from 1 species
GAUGAACGCUGGCGGUCUGACUUAACACAUGCAAGUCGAACGAACUCUUCGGAGUGAGUGGCGGACGGGUGAGUAACGCGUGAGAAUCUGCCUGUGGUCGGGGAACAACCACUGGAAACGUGGCUAAUACCGGAUGAGCCGAAAGGUAAAAGAUUUAUUGCCCACAGAUAGACGCUCGCGUCUGAUUAGCUAGUUAGGUAAGGUAAAAGCGUACCAAGGCGACGAUCAGUAGCUGGUCUGAGAGGAUGAGCAGCCACACUGGGACUGAGACACGGCCCAGACUCCUACGGAGGCAG